UCCUACGGGAGGCAGCAGUAGGGAAUCUUCGGCAAUGGGGGCAACCCUGACCGAGCAACGCCGCGUGAGUGAAGAAGGUUUUCGGAUCGUAAAGCUCUGUUGUAAGAGAAGAACGUGUGUGAGAGUGGAAAGUUCACACAGUGACGGUAACUUACCAGAAAGGGACGGCUAACUACGUGCCAGCAGCCGCGGUAAUACGUA
rnacentral:rRNA from 1 species